AUGGCCACCCAACGAUCUACCGCGAUCUCGUCCUCACAGUUAGAAAUCAAAUCCCCCAAACAGAUUCGAAGCAGGCAGACAACAGGCACUCUCUCCGGUUUCGGCGCCUCAAAUCGGCCACUCUCUCCGUUUACAUUUCCAUUUGCAUUUACAGACAACAGGCAGAUCCAAGCGCGAACCCCGGGUGGGUAUGGGGGAGGGGGGAGGAGGUGGGGUUUGUACCUUGCGACCGGGAGAGAUCUCCGCCGAUCUGAGCAGCGCCCACCGCAGCGCCAUCUCCGCCUCCGCUUGGCCUCGAGUCCGUCGGAUUUGGGGAAAAACCGGGGAGAGGCUAGUGUGGUGUGGGGAGGAGAAACGGGGCGAGCUCCAGGCCAGGUGCAGGAGGGGAACCAGCGCUCUUCGAGGCCGCGGCUGUGUGUGUGUGUGUGUGUGUGUGUGGAGUAUAGCUGGCCAAAUGGGCCAGCGGCCUGA
rnacentral:rRNA from 1 species